rnacentral:lncRNA from 1 species
UGAAGCAUUCAUGACAUUACACCUUUAGUUUAGAUUCACUUCCUCUUCCUGUCGCGUCUGAAUCUGUCGUCAUGGCGCAAAUAUUUACGUUACACAUAUAUUAUCGGUAAAGCAUCAGAUCUGUCUUCAGAAUGAACAUCCGGUCCUGACAGGAAGCGCUCCUGAUUGGACGAACACAGGGGAGCAUAGAUAUGUAUAGGUAGAUGCCUCAUUCGGAAGCGCCAUCUUGCAACGGUCAACGUGACGUCCUUCACUAUAAUAAUAAGUGCAUUUUCGAACAUGCCGCAAUGCUGCACAGCCGCUGGCUGUAAAAACCGCAGGGAAACGGGAUAACCUUUCCCAUGUGAGAAUGCGAGAGAGGGGCGGAACCAUUGAUAUGUAAGGAUUGUGGCAUCUUUGAAUAUACAUUGAUUAUUAUUAUUAUUAUUAUCGACUGAGGCAUCUACGUAUAGAGCUAUGCAGGUGGGCGUGUCGUUGUGCGGCUGACGUCAUCGGGAGGUGACGCGCUCUAUGCGCCUUUCCAGAGCCAUUGAUCAGUGUUGUUCCUGAUUACAUUCGCGUUAAUUACACCGCUGACUGUAAUUACUCAUCUGAACAUAGAUGUCAGAUCAUUUGGCAGAAAGCAGUUGUAACCCUCUGACGGUAUUUCUGGUGUUUAGAGGAGAGUCUGAUGUGAAUCAGGAGAGAGUGAUGCUCUGCAUCUCUGACUUCUGUGCUUUUGUCUCUGAGCUACAUCUCUUUAAUUCAUUGGCUUUAUGCCAGUCAUCUGACGUGAACAUCACGAAGCAGGGCUUUAAUAAAGCCUGUGACAGUCCCACAGCUGAUGAGCUGAAGAUCUGUCCUCACAGCGAGACCUCACCCUCAAGUCUAAGCCUUCAGUAAAACAGAUGAGAGCGGGUCAUCCUAAAACAUGGCCACUUCUCUAAGCAGCAUCAGUAAAGCCAGCAGAGCUCUGUAGGAGUCCCCAGCAUGAGCUCACAAGCACAUCUGCUGCAGUACUGGCUCUUUAAUGUACUGAAGUAUUAAAAGUACUGGUCGGUGACUGUUUUCGUCUGAAGUCAAAGUCAGUUUCUCAAAAUAAAAAUACUCCGAUAAAGUACAGAUACUUGAUAAAUGUACUGAAGUACAGUAACGGAGUAAAAGAAAAGCUUUGUUACUGUCCUCCACUGCCAUUGUUUCCAGUAGAGGAACAUUCGCCACAGAGCCAGCAAUACUCGCUGUGAACAACCUCAGGUUUACUAGACCUAGAGCACUCGACUAGCAAACAAGAGGAGGACACACUGUGUGAGUGCAUUAGUUCAGGCUUGGAGUGCUUAAAGACAGGCUUUAUCCUCUGAUCUGAUGAGGUUUGCAGCUUUCUCCAGAGCAGCAGCUUAAAGAGGCUCUGUGACUCAGAACUUUCUUACACGGUAUGAUUAUUCAGGCUUCAUACAGCCGUAUUAGCCUGAACCUUUGCUUUAAAGCAGCA